UGGAACUGGAGUCACAGAGCUGUAAGCUGCCAGGUGUGUUUUGGGAAUUGAACUCGGGUCCUGUAACUGUCUGAUUUUGUACCUGUCGUUACUAACUCCGGGACAGUGAAGGUGCACGGGAUGCAGUGGACAGGCACAGCCCUGGCUCUGUGACUCACUCAGUACAGAACAAGUGGCCACUUAGAAGCAAUGGGCUCUAUGGCAAGAAUGUUUUAAUUGUUGGAAAAGUCUAAAGUAAUUUAGAUUUCAUUUGUAGGAGUUGUAUCUGAGUUUUCCAACUGCCAUGAAUUAUUUUAGUAAUAAAAUUGAAUAAAAACAGUACUAUGGCACUAUAUUUACUUUUAAGUACAUGUUAUAUUUACUUAGCACAUUCAAGAGAGGACUCUGGGAUUUUCAGGUGCAUAGCUUCUAGCUUUAUUGUCUAUUUACAGCACCCACUCCUUCCUCUAGUGGAUAAUGACCCAAUGAUUAUUCUUUCAGAGACACUGCAAUUAUAGAUUCAUUUAGUCUAAAUGAUGUGUUGUAUGUUGUGGGGCAGGUGGUAUUUUCUUGGAAUUUAUCAUAACUAAAAUAUUUUAGAUAUUAAAAUAUAAAAUUCCAAAGAUAUAAUCUUUCUCUUCAAAAUUCCCUACUGUUUCCCAGCACCUGUUGCUAUAGAGGAGCUGAAGCCAGCCACUCUUCUCUUCUUAUAGACAGCUUGCUGCUUUCUGAUCAGAUGUCUGAAGAUUCCGAUCCAGAAGGGCUCCCAGACAAGUACAGUGGUGACUCAGACUAGAGUGGAGCUCAUCUAGGACAAGCCAGCCAGCCUCCGGGAGGUCCUGCUAUGUGCAUUCAUCUAUGCCUAAACUGGCUCCAAGUUCACCUUUUUUAAAAAAGCAAUCAGUGUCUCAUAAAAGCAAUAAAGUGAUGAAUACUUGGUAA